rnacentral:lncRNA from 1 species
AAAUUGGUUUGGAAAAUUAUCUGUGAUAAAUAUCAUGUCCUAAAUCUAAAGAAAGAGGUGUAAUAUUUUUAAUAGUGUAACAUGAAAUUGUUCCCAAACAUCUAACCGAACGUUGAACAAACAAUAAAGCAAAUAGCUAUGGUGUGCUUACAAAGUACCAGGGGCUUUAAGUAUGUCCUUGUUUAUCUGACCCACAACAAUGCUAUGAAUCAUUUUAUAGAGAAGAAAAUUGAGCUAUAGAAGAGACAAAUAACCUAACUUCAAGAGCCAGAUAAGUAACCUGUCUUUUAAGAGUCAGAACUGGAAUGCCAACCCGGGCAGCAGGACACCAAUGUUCUAGUUCUUAACCACUCUGCUAUUCUGUUUCCUGCUACUAAAAUAACCACAAAAAUGACAACAAAACAUGGGCUUCAAGAGGUGUCAAAUUGUCAGCCUGUCUGUGUGUAUUGCUUGGUCUGGUUCUACGAGGCAGAAAUGCCCCAGCAGAAUCUUGGUGCAGUGACACCAUCUGGAACGAUGUUAAUAUUCUUCAGGCGAAGUGUGCAGGAUGGAGAGACUCAAGCAGAGGACAGUGGUGGUCUCAAGUGGACCCAUAGCCACUCCCAAAGAGGGUGUCCUGAAGAAUGCUGUGUCAGGGUGAGGAAGGGUGAGAACCUUUUCUGGGACAAGAAAAGUACCUUUCUCAU